UCCUAAUGCUGCGACCCUUUAACGCACUUCACAUUGUGGUGACCCCCAACCAUAAAACUGUUUGCAUUCCUACUUCAUUCAUAACUGUAACUUUACUACGGCUAUGAAUCAUCAUGUAAAUAUCUGUGUUUUCUGAAGGAUCGUUUGACCUUGGAAGGGGUCCGCAAACUUCAGGUUGAGAGUCGAUGCCUUGGAAGGAUAUUGGAGAUUCCUGUACCGGUUGUGGGGGAGGGGCAACACAAUGAUUCCUUCUUGACUACCUUUUCCUCCUUUUCUGAUUUAUUGUCUUGUCCUCUCCUCUUGGCCCCCAGAUCUCAAUCACAAACAAAAUUCUUGUACAAAAGCCUUGGUGUCCCACUCUCAAGGCUGUAAGAGAAGAGUAUCAGGUUUUGGUUUGUUCUGUUCUAGAGUUGAAAACAGCUACUUCUCAAAGCUGUGGAUGUUUAGCAGGCCCACACUCAGAACCCAAGUCUCUCAGAUUCCUGUGUAGCACAGUCUUUAUAAAACAGGUGAUUCAAUCUAAUGACUCCUACCCAUCAUUUUUCUACACAAGUACUUUGAAGUAGCCUGAAUGAGUAAGAAUCUUUCUUGUCCCUAUUCUUCGCCAGCACUUGUGCCACAAAACAGUGAUCACCAAAAUUUCCUGCCAGCAAAACGGGACAAUUUUCUCCAGUAAAAACUUCAGAAAGUUUUAUUUAAAGUUGAAGCCUAAACAGCAAAUCACAGAAGAAAAUAGAAAUGUUUUCUCUCUUAGGGGCAACCUGUCAUAGGAAAGUAAAAGUAAGAUUAAAAACAAGGAUUGCACCUGGGAGAAAUUAACUCAAACCAUAGUAAAGGUUUCAUUAGCUGUCAUUAGCCAAUUAAAAGUUGGCAUCAAAGGGCCGUUGGAGACAUCUAAGAUUGUUCUGUUUCAGAAGAAUCCGGCUCUUUAGAGAAAUUAAUGUAUUAAUUUGAUGCUGCUUCCCAUCACGUCCAGAGCUCCUUGCUUCAAAUGAGUAUACAUUAUAGACGUUUGUCUAGCAAUUCUUUUGACUUGGCAGCUUUCUCUGGAAUAAAUUCAUUGUCUGUUAAGAACAUCCUAAAUACAUAAUUAUAAGAUCAUAAUGCUAUAUUCUCUUAAGGGCAUUGAAAACUACACUUAGAGGAGUGAAUUGCUAUUAACGUUAAUUAUGGUAAGAGAUGUUCAAAUUAAGUCCAUUAAGAUGCUAUAACGCAUAAAUAAUAAUCCCAUCUUACCAUUAUUGUCAUAUGUAUAUUAUGUCUAUAUAUGUAUAUCAAAUAUAUAUAUAUAUGUAUAUAUAUAUAUAUAUAUACUUAUAUAUAUAAGAGGAAUACAGAAAAAGAUUUAGAUUAGAGAAUGAUUAAUAAGACAUACUAACCUGUUCUUUUAUAUGAUCAUUUCCCCUAAUUUAAUGAUGCUCUAGUGAAUUGCCUGACAAUUCUCUAAUGCGUUUUUUAAUUCUCUAAUUCUUUUUUUUUUUUUGCCCUAGGUGUUCAAUUCUCCUCCUCCUCCUCCUCCUCCUCCUUUUCUUUUCUUUUCUUCUUCUUCCUCCUCCUCCUCUUCCCCCUCCUCCUCCUCCCCACCCCCAUCUUUGUCCUCCUCCUCCAGAUAAAACAUAGAAGAAUCACACAGUAACCCCAAAGAAAGUUGCUGCUUAACUACUUUGGGCAUUUCAAUAAUCAGUCAAACCCAGAAAUGUAGAAUUAAAGAGGUUCCAAUAACAAAUUUUAUUUCAAUGUUAAACUGGUUAAGGACUCAGGCCUCUUGCCCUCUGUGGAAGACCACGGUGUUGAGAAUUCCAUGUGUUCUGUGAGCUUGUUUAUAGCCCCAGAAAGAUGAAACUACUUGGAAGAAAAUACUUAGUAUUGUAGUCUCAAGGAGGCUUAGAAGAGGGUAGGGGAGAGAUUUCCAAGUACAUGCUUUCCUUUUGGAGACCAUGAAGUACCUCCCUGGUCCUCCGGUGAGGUAGUUUGGGAUAAAUCCCCAUGACAAGGCACAUAAUACUCAUAGACUCCUCCCUCUGGGUGGGAAGAGGACACACUAGAAAGGGGAGCUGUUCCGGCCAUGCCAACAAAUAUUUGAUCAACUGCAUGAUUUGAUUUUUGUCAAUGGAAUAAAAUCUAAAACACGUUGUGAGUGUCAUCUAAAGCUCUGCUUGACUUUCACCUGUGUCCUAUGACAUUUAUGACUUUGGCUAACUUAGGGAAGAUCGUAACUGGAUAUCUCCCAAAGUCGAGGUCUUCCCACAUGAGACCAGUUCUCCACAGCUUUUUGUUUGUUUGUUUCUGUCAUCUUUAUUUUUUACUAGCCAGCAAUGACAACUAGGAAGAGAUACACAUUUUUUUAAGGAAGAAAAUUCCAGUAUUCCUAGCCUAAUGUGGGCAUCACAGUAUUGAUCCCUUGCUGUAAUAUGGCUUCUUUAAAGACAAGUUAGGAGGUGGGGAACUAAGGAAAGAAAAAGGCAGUAAAAUCUUGCUGCUGCCCAUGGCCAGUGAUUGCUGACAGCUCUGUGCCAGGGUGUCUGUCUCCACAGCAGGCUUGCAGCAUUCUUUAUUGUGGUUGUUUAGCUGUGCCCUUUGCUUCUUCGCCAAAGUAGCCCCCAUUGGUGAUAACUAACAAUGUCUCCUAAAACUGCCACAAUAUUGGGACAAAUAAAAUUGCUCGUGAUCAAUAACUACUACCUUAUAAUAAGAACAACUUUUCCAGAAAGAUUCAAUGUUAAGGCCUCUAUCUAAGUGCAGAAUAUGCUGUGAGCACCCUGAGGUCCUGAAGAACACUUCUCUUAGAUAAAGCUUUCAACUGGCAAGAACAGUGGUUUAAAAAAAAU
rnacentral:lncRNA from 1 species